CAACAAUAGCAAGUGAACUAUCUAUGUGGCAUAAUGAUUUUAGCUGAGGAUUAUCCAGAGGUGAUCAUGUGGAUGGACAGGACAUCAUGGUCCAGCUAACUUCAUUCAUGUCUGUCUGUAGGGGAAGGGUGAUGCUGGUUCAUGACAUCCUGAAGAAUAUGAGGAAGAUAGUUUGUUGAUGGUAUGACCAUCUGUAGAGCAUCUACAGAUGGACUGUCUGGACCAUUCACAUUCAGUCACUGAAAGCGGCGCUGGCUAUGGCCAGUGGGCUAGGAUAUCCUGCGUAUACCCCAUCAGUCUCCGAGCUCAUCUCCAAGACCCAGAGCCACAGGCUGCAGUGCUCCGUCAGUUGAUCAGUGACUCGCAGGUGCCUCCUCCAAGACACUACUCUACUGUCUAUCCCUGCAGAGUGGAGCUGUGGCUGCCAGGUGGUGGUCGUGGGUCUCGAUGACCUCAUCGUGUUUGUCACCAGGUGCUGUGAUAAUAGAGCCUACCUGAAGGAGAUAACAGUAACUGUCUACACGUUUACAUUAGCAUGAUACAUAUGGGGUGGGAAUAGCUUAAGACAAGUCUUACACUUGUUCUUUUCUGAUGUUUCAGAUCACUGAACAGGCCCUUUGGAAGUAGAAUUUGAACCCCUUCAGACAUUCUUAUGAGCGGUGGGGAAAGUACCCAAUUUUCAUACUUAAGUAAAAGUGAAAGUCACCCAGUAAAAAACGACUUCAUUAAAAGUCUAAAAGUAUUUGGUUUGAAAUGUACUUAAGUAUCAAAAGUAAAGGUAUAAAUCAUUAAACAUUUCUUACAUUAAGCAAACCAGACGACACAAUAUAUAUAUAUAAUUUAAGGAUAGCCAGGGGCACAGUUCAACACUCAGACAUAAUGUGUUUAGUGAGUCUGCCAGAUCAGAGGCAGUAG